rnacentral:rRNA from 1 species
AGACUGCAGGUUGCAACUCGCCUGCACGAAGUCGGAAUUGCUAGUAAUCGUAGGUCAGCAUACUACGGUGAAUACGUUCCCGGGCCUUGUACACACCGCCCGUCAAACCAUGAGAGUUGGCAACACCCGAAGUCAGUGACCUAACCGAGAGGGAGGAGCUGCCGAAGGCGGGGCCGGUAACUGGGGUGAAGUCGUAACAAGGUAAC